rnacentral:rRNA from 1 species
GUGAACGCUGGCGGUAGGCCUAACACAUGCAAGUCGAACGGCAGCACAGAGGAGCUUGCUCCUUGGGUGGCGAGUGGCGGACGGGUGAGGAAUACAUCGGAAUCUACUUUUUCGUGGGGGAUAACGUAGGGAAACUUACGCUAAUACCGCAUACGACCUCCGGGUGAAAGCAGGGGACCUUCGGGCCUUGCGCGAUUGAAUGAGCCGAUGUCGGAUUAGCUAGUUGGCGGGGUAAAGGCCCACCAAGGCGACGAUCCGUAGCUGGUCUGAGAGGAUGAUCAGCCACACUGGAACUGAGACACGGUCCAGACUCCUACGGGAGGCAGCAGUGGGGAAUAUUGGACAAUGGGCGCAAGCCUGAUCCAGCCAUACCGCGUGGGUGAAGAAGGCCUUCGGGUUGUAAAGCCCUUUUGUUGGGAAAGAAAAGCACUCGGUUAAUACCCAAGUGUUCUGACGGUACCCAAAGAAUAAGCACCGGCUAACUUCGUGCCAGCCGCCGCAGUAAUAC